CUGCUAUCUCCUUCACAACAUUAUAUGACAAUAACAUUGAAAUAUCUAGCAGUAAACACACGCUCUCUCAAAUGAACAAAGUUUCAAACAUUGUCAAGGAACCUGAGUUACCAGAUAUCUAUAAAGAAUUCAAAGACAUUACUGCAGAAACCAAUACGGAAAAGCUACCAAAGCCAAUAAAAGGGUUAGAAUUUGAAGUUGAACUAACUCAAGAAAACUACAGAUUACCUAUCAGAAAUUACCCGCUACCACCGGGAAAAAUGCAAGCUAUGAAUGAUGAAAUUAAUCAAGGAUUAAAAAGUGGAAUUAUACGAGAAUCUAAAGCCAUUAACGCCUGUCCAGUAAUGUUCGUUCCGAAAAAGGAAGGCACCUUGAGAAUGGUGGUUGACUACAAACCUUUAAAUAAGUAUGUCAAACCCAAUAUAUAUCCGUUACCACUUAUUGAACAAUUACUUGCUAAAAUACAAGGUUCUACAAUUUUUACUAAACUUGACCUCAAAAGUGCCUAUCACUUGAUACGAGUAAGAAAAGGAGAAUGUCAGCAAUACUACACUACGCUAUAAUACACUACGUUGAGUAUCACUAUAUGUCACAUGUUCUAAUUAUAUAUCGUACCAUGUAUGAUACGAUAUGGAGAUUGAUCUUAAUGAUAAUCUAUUAAGAUCAAUAUUAUCUGAAUACUAUAAAUAGAGCUACUGCUGAACCUCGUGGAGUUUUUGAAUAUCUAGUAAUGCCUUAUGGCAUAUCUACAGCUCCAGCACAUUUUCAAUACUUUAUCAAUACAAUACUUGGUGAAGCCAAAGAAUCACAUGUAGUAUGUUAUAUGGAUGAUAUUUUAAUUCAUUCAAAAUCGGAAUCUGAACAUGUAAAACAUGUUAAAGACGUUCUACAGAAAUUGAAAAAUGCGAACUUAAUUAUCAAUCAAGCAAAAUGUGAAUUUCACCAAUCACAAGUAAAAUUUAUAGGGUAUCACAUUUCGGAAAAAGGAUUUACGCCUUGUCAAGAAAAUAUAGACAAAGUCUUACAAUGGAAGCAACCUAAGAAUCGUAAAGAAUCGUGGACAAUAUUAAAGUAAAACCAACUUAGAGCUUAAGAAAAAAAAAUUAGAACGAAGGUAAAAAAAAUUUCGUCUUUUCAGUGAAAGCACUGAUUUGUUUGCUUUUUAGAAAUACAACCUUGACAGAUGCCCUGCUUAAAAAAAGAAAACCCCCAAUUUUAGCAAUAGCGAAAUAUUAAAUAUAUAUAAAUAUAACGCUUUGCCUUCUAAAAAUCUUUUUUCUAAAUAAAGAAACAAAGUAAACACGGGACUUCGCUUGACAAGAAUAGAACCCUCCUUUUGUUAAUUUGUCUAAUGUUGAAUGCGGAGCUCAGAGUAACAAAAUAGAUUCGCUUAGACGAGGCUUAAUUUAACUCUAAUUUUUAAUAUUUUUGAAAUUGAGUUGUGUUUUGGGUAAUGAGGAAGCAGAUACAUCCAUAAACCGAAUAGUCUCAAUAACAUUUUAUGAGAUAUUGUCAACUUUUUGAAGCCACUGUUAUUUUUAGUGAAAGAAAUUGUGAUAGAAACGAGAAACCUUUGAUUUGGAAAACUGAUUCGCAAAUCAAUGAAAGAUCAGAAAUGUCAGCUAUCG
rnacentral:lncRNA from 1 species